GCAAGUAUGUUAUAAUAAAAAUUAGUAGCGAGUGAAAGAUGGUGGCUAUCCUUACAUGAAAGGGGGGAUGCUUAUGCGAAUAAGUAUCUACUCUAACGAAAGGAGAGGCCUUUGUGUCUGUAGCAGAAGCUUUGCAACUAGCAGUCGGUUUUGGAAGUCUUUUGAUCUCCCUAAUCGCUCUUGUUAU
rnacentral:sRNA from 1 species